AAUAACAGGUCGUCAUUAUAUACUAAGCUAUUUCCUCGCUGUAUUAAUGCUAUUGUACUGCAUUAGGAAAGUAUAUAAUGGUACCGGAGUCAACUGCGCUGUGUAUAAUACUUGUUUUCAUGCUGGUAUGCGAGAAGGAUUCUGAGGCUGUGCAUAUUUGACAGGGUGCAAGCUAUGGUCCCUGAAGCUCCUGAAUACCCUGCAAUUAAAACAUGCCAUUUUCAAAAUUUGGAAAACCCUGUAGUUUUCCACAGCCCUUGAAAACACCUGGCAUGCCAUCCUCGAUACACGUUAUAACUUUAGUGCAGUGUAAUUGCACAUUGAUCUCUUACCAGUAGUUUUCCAUCCCCUCUCUUUUGAGUUUUUUUAGCUUGUGAGUGCCUUUCCCACAACAGAAGACACUGAAUGUCUUGAGACUGUUGACUGGACCCUGCACGACUGCAGAAGAUGUGUGUACACAAGAAUUUUGCCUUUUUGGUGCUCCGCUCAAGACCAGUUGCCAAUGCAGACCCGUUGAACUAGCACAACUGUUUUUUUCUUUUUUUCAUAACCUAGCCCAACUAAUGCAUAUGAAUUCCGUCAUCAUCACAGACCAUGCAUACGCACAGUCUCGUCCCAAGAAGACCAAAUCAUCCUAUGGCCAAGCAAGCCUUCGUGCAGAAGCUUCUACCCCUGAGGUAAAAUGCGGCGGAGGAUCAGGUCAUGGUUACUUUACCGAACACAUGUCACUACCGUCGCCUGUGAAGCAGGUGUCCAGAAGCGUUGGCAACCGAACUGACAUUACCACAAGAACUGCUGACUGCAUUCUACUAUAUUUCCACAUUCUUCGCAAUAGACAACACCUGGUAGCAAAAGCGAUAAAGUCAAUGAACAUGCAGCUGCGGUCCACUCUUACGAACGCGCACGAAGCUAACGAAAUAUCACUGGCGUCGCUACUACUAAGAUGCCCUUUCACACAGGAGUGAAAGCCGCCACCUAGUCUGAGCAGGCAGACCUCACUCCUGUUCUCCUUUUGAACAUCGUACCACCGCCCCCGCCACUAAUAUUCCGCGUUUGCCGCAAGUGUAUUGCAUGUUCAAGCAGCAUACGAUUACAAGAACUAUAAAAGUCGAUCGACAUAGCAUUGGUAUUCUCAUUUCAGUUCACAUAGCGUCCAAAUUUCCUAGGAUUUAAAACGGCAAAAUUAU